GACGUAGGGCGCGAGCGUUGUCCGGAUUUAUUGGGCGUAAAGAGCUCGUAGGCGGUGUGUCGCGUCGGCCGUGAAAACCUGCAGCUUAACUGUGGGCGUGCGGUCGAUACGGGCAUCACUGGAGUUCGGCAGGGGAGACUGGAAUUCCUGGUGUAGCGGUGAAAUGCGCAGAUAUCAGGAGGAACACCGGUGGCGAAGGCGGGUCUCUGGGCCGUAACUGACGCUGAGGAGCGAAAGCAUGGGGAGCGAACAGG
rnacentral:rRNA from 1 species